CUGCGGUCACGUGGUCUUCUGUGUGAUGUCAUGAAGGUUCAAAGGAGGAAUCUUCCCUCCCCCACGUGUCCGUUGUUAGCCACGUUAGCCACGUUAGCCACGUUUCUCCUCCACGUCUGUUGUCUUAUUCAUUCAGAUAUUCGUGCUCCCCAGAGGACAGACCUUCCUCACGUUGUCACUAGUCGAUAUUCGCUCAAAUCGUGUGGAAAAAAAAAAAACUGCGCGAAAGCCGUUCACAUGAAGCGCUGUUGCUAAUGCUGCUAACAAGCUAGCCGUAGUGUCACCCGUUGGCUUCCUCUCAAUAAUUCAUUUCAUUAGAGGGUGAACGGGAUGAUGAACACGAGCAGCUGCUGCUACAAAUGUUCUUUUCUUUGUGACUUUUGUGUUUCUUACGCGUUGAAACAAACUUUAAAGCCACGUUUUCCGCUCAGCUUUCGUCCGUCUGCAGGAUGGAAACAGACACGAAUGUUUUCCAGCUGAGGAAUCUGCUUUUAAUGAAUAUCAAGGGAAGUAACCUGAAUCAGCCAAGUGACAUUAUCAAGUCUUCUACGAGUAAAAGCGGACGUUUCCCACUGAGCUCCAAAGGUGGCCGCCCACAUGAAGAGGGUCCAGACCCCCUGGAAGGGGACCGGGGUGCUCCGGAAGUCCACCAGGGAACAAAUUGUCUUCCCACAAUCCUCGAGUCUCACACUCCUGUAGCUGCUAUUCGCCCGAGUGUUGGAGCUGUGGGUGGAGAGAGGAAGUCCAGAAGAAGGGACCCUAAUGGGAACAUUUCAGUGUGAAGAUCGCAAACUGUCGUCUCACUUAAAUGCGCUGAUUCGCUUUCUUUCUUUUCGCUCCUCCUGAGAGUUGGAUGAGGAGCGACGCGAAGCUCAGCACGAAGAAGAAAGACUCACGGCAGGAAAACGCUCUGCUGCAUGUUUGUGAAUCAAGUAUUUUCAGUGUGAAUAAUGAAAACUGCAAAUCCCUGUCAUGAUUUUCAGUGUGUCUCAUUUGUUGUUUAGCGUUGCUGCAUCCAGAUGGAGGUCCUUCCUAAGUGAGCAGAAACGAUAAAACACACAGCGUUAAUCCUCCUGGAAACCACGCGUGUUAUAAAGAAGCUGAAUGACAACAUUUGGUACUUUAUUUGUAACUGAACCGCUUUCUUUUAAGUGACGUGCUUGUUGUGAACUGUUUGUUCCCUACAAAGACUUCUUCUAUUCUCUCUGCUUCAUGAGGAGUCGACAAGAUGUUCAUUAUGUUACAAACUCCACUGACGUCUGUGAGGGAGGCUGACAGAGAAAGAGAGGCAUUAUGGGGGUCGGGGGGGGGGGGGGGGGGGGUUUAACCUGAUCUGUAGCAAAGGGGGGGGGUUCUCUACUGUAAGUAUGUCACACACGUUUGCUUUGCUCGUAUUGUCCCUGAAUCAUCUCCCUGUGCUCGACUCCCCCUGAAGGAAAG
ensembl:lncRNA